GAAGCUUCAACAGAGCAGGGUGGCUUUUAGGGAGCUGCCCUGGCUCUCCCUCUGUGGCAUGCCUGGACCAUGGUUUGGCUGAGCUGUAAGAGGAGAUGGGCAGUUUGGCUGAGCAGGGAAGUGAAGAGGAGGAAAGGGAAGGGAAGGGAAGGGAAGGGAAGUGAAGUGCACAGGGCAGGCUUCGCAAGCCUUCCCACGCUCACUCUGUCACCAUUGCCAGUGGUGGGAGAAGGGCAACAAGGGGGUAAAAUCUCCCUUUUGUCUCCCCCCUGUUGAUGCCACUACUCUUGCUACUGUUUUGGUACGGAGAGAUAAAAGCCCCCUGGCAUAAUUCAUAUUUAAUUGUCACUGAAAUGCUAUAAUCAACCUAUAGUAGAUCCUUUGAGCAUAAAGAAUGGGGGAAGAGUGUAGCUCUUUGAAGGUUUAAAAUAUACUAAUUAAGUAAAUACUCUAUUAGAUUUCAUUCUGAUAAUGCAUUUAUUUUUGCAUUUUGCAUUUAUCCAUAUCUUAUAUUUAUAAUUCACAUUCCUUGCAUUUGAUAUUUUAAACACAAGGGAUAAAAAUCAAAUAAGAAAAGAAAAGGACUUUUUAGUCACCAAAUUGUUUUAACUUUAUCCUCUAUUAUUAGUUUACCACUCAUUGAACCCCUGUAGAGAGGGCCAACAGACCUUUGUAUGAUGUUUAGAAGUGCAUUAAGAGCCCAGGCAGUUCUUUCCGUGGUACACAACAUUUCUCUCUUUUGAAAGACAUUUUCUCUCUCUCUUUUGUCCCCUCUUGGCUUUAACCUUCUGAAUGCAUUUUAACUCUAUUACACUGAAAGGACACCCACGAGGCUUCACAAAUACAUGCUGGUGACCCUUUGACACAGGAGGAAAGUUGGAACAUAUAACAUUCUUUUCAAAUGAAGAACUCCAGGAAGAAAGAGAAAGAAGAAAUGGUUGCUGGAAGAUUUUUCUUUUCAUUUGGUGGUGGUAGUAGUAAUAGCAAUAGCAAUAACAAUCAGUCUAGAAGAAAGUCCAUUCCUUUCCCUGCCACUUUGAUUAUUUUAAAUUACUUCCCAAAUACAGGUUCAACACCAGAAAGAAUCUGGUAUUCUGGAAUAAUUCUGCUCACAUUGAUAAUUAUAUAGUAUAUAGCAAGAUGGUAAGUCACCUUCAGGCAUUCAUAAGUCCUAUUCAUGGAGAUGGAAUAAGGUUAUGUGUGGCGAUCCCACCCUCUCUACUCUGAAGCUUCCUCUAUUGCGUG